GGCUCAGGACGAACGCUGGCGGCGUGCCUAAUACAUGCAAGUCGAACGGUCUUUCUAUGGAAGCUUGCUUCCACUGAGAAGAUAGUGGCGAACGGGUGAGUAACACGUGGGUAACCUGCCCAUAAGAGGGGGAUAACAUCCGGAAACGGGUGCUAAUACCGCAUAGUUUUCUUGAUCGCAUGAUCGGGAAAGGAAAGACGGCCUUUGUGCUGUCGCUUAUGGAUGGACCCGCGGCGUAUUAGUUAGUUGGUGAGGUAACGGCUCACCAAGACGAUGAUACGUAGCCGACCUGAGAGGGUGAUCGGCCACAUUGGGACUGAGACACGGCCCAAACUCCUACGGGAGGCAGCAGUAGGGAAUCUUCCGCAAUGGACGAAAGUCUGACGGAGCAACGCCGCGUGAGUGAAGAAAGGUUUUCGGAUCGUAAAACUCUGUUGUCAGAGAAGAACAAGUUGGAGAGUAACUGCUCCAGCCUUGACGGUAUCUGACCAGAAAGCCACGGCUAACUACGUGCCAGCCGCAGC
rnacentral:rRNA from 1 species